rnacentral:rRNA from 1 species
CCUACGGGAGGCAGCAGUGGGGAAUAUUGCACAAUGGGGGAAACCCUGAUGCAGCGACGCCGCGUGAGUGAAGAAGUAUUUCGGUAUGUAAAGCUCUAUCAGCAGGGAAGAAAAUGACGGUACCUGAUUAAGAAGCGCCGGCUAACUACGUGACAGCAGCCGCGGUAAUACGUAGGGGGAAAGCGUUAUCCGGCUUUACUGGGGGGAAAGGGAGCGUAGACGGCAGCGCAAGGCUGAAGGGAAAUGCCGGGGCUUAACCCCGGAACUGCUUUGGAAACUGUGCAGCUAGAGUGCAGGAGAGGUAGGUGGAAUGCCUGGUGUAGCGGUGAAAUGCGUAGAUAUUAGGAGGAACACCAGUGGCGAAGGCGGCUUACUGGACUGUAACUGACGUUGAGGCUCGAAAGCGUGGGGAGCAAACAGGAUUAGAUACCCGAGUAGUC